rnacentral:rRNA from 1 species
AGACCCGAAACCCGGUGAUCUAGCCAUGGGCAGGUUGAAGGUUGGGUAACACUAACUGGAGGACCGAACCGACUAAUGUUGAAAAAUUAGCGGAUGACCUGUGGCUGGGGGUGAAAGGCCAAUCAAACCGGGAGAUAGCUGGUUCUCCCCGAAAGCUAUUUAGGUAGCGCCUCGUGAAUUCAUCUCCGGGGGUAGAGCACUGUUUCGGCUAGGGGGCCAUCCCGGCUUACCAACCCGAUGCAAACUGCGAAUACCGGAGAAUGUUAUCACGGGAGACACACGGCGGGUGCUAACGUCCGUCGUGAAGAGGGAAACAACCCAGACCGCCAGCUAAGGUCCCAAAGUCAUGGUUAAGUGGGAAACGAUGUGGGAAGGCCCAGACAGCCAGGAUGUUGGCUUAGAAGCAGCCAUCAUUUAAAGAAAGCGUAAUAGCUCACUGGUCGAGUCGGCCUGCGCGGAAGAUGUAACGGGGCUAAACCAUGCACCGAAGCUGCGGCAGCGAACGUAUCACCCAAGACAACUUUACGGAGUUGACGAUUGACGGAGCGAAGCGACGUCAAAGCGUUCAUUAAAGUCGAGUUGGCUUAGGGAUACGUUCGUUGGGUAGGGGAGCG